AAAUGCCAUGUGGUAUCUGAUGCCUGGUCUCGUUUCAGUGGCCUCGCGUCUCGUAAGAGUGGCAGACAGUGAUGGGCGGGUUCUUUGCGACACGGGCUGCUCUUCGACCAUGAGCUUCCUGUUACUAUUCCCCCGCGACAUUU
rfam:Zea mays cultivar B73 chromosome 1, whole genome shotgun sequence.